rnacentral:misc_RNA from 1 species
GGCGGGAUUGGAAUCAAGGGUGAUACAUUGUCGCUUUCUACAUUCUCUUCUACUCUGCUGGAACUACCUGUCUUAGCCGCUUUGGGAGCUUGAUGGGCCGUGACCGCUGCUACUUGGGCAGUGGUGGUUCUUGAUGCACGCGACUCUAUUAAUGGUGUGACGUUUUGAGAUACGAUUUUUAAUACGCUGCGAGAGGAUGAAGUAACUGAUGGAGGUGGCAGAGGUGGAGGUGGAGGAACUGAAUGGACUUUCUUGGACUUUCCUUUCUUGGAAGAGAAAAGUUUUUGGAAGAAAUGGGGUGGAGGUGGCGGCGGCGGAGGUGGGGAUGGUGAUGGUAUGAAAAGUGAAGAUGAAGGUUGAGGGUCCAAUAAGCUCUCAAGAUUUUCAACA